rnacentral:pre_miRNA from 1 species
AAAAAAACAAGUCCUAAAUAUCUAUACCAACAUAUAACUGUCUGUUUUAUAUGAUUUUUUUAUAAUUAGUAUUUUUAUUAUUAUUAGAUGAUAAAACAUGAUUAAUAUUUUAUGUGUGAUUUAUCUUUUUAAUUUUUUUAUAAUUUUUUUAAAUAAAAUGGAUGGUCAAACGUUAGAUAUAAAAACCAGGGUU